rnacentral:rRNA from 1 species
AGUGCCCUGGAACGGGCCGUCAUAGAGGGUGAGAAUCCCGUCUGGGAUGGGGUGCCCGCUUCCGUGUGAAGCUCCUUCGACGAGUCGAGUUGUUUGGGAAUGCAGCUCUAAAUGGGUGGUAAAUUUCAUCUAAAGCUAAAUACUGGCCGGAGACCGAUAGCGCACAAGUAGAGUGAUCGAAAGAUGAAAAGCACUUUGAAAAGAGAGUUAAACAGCACGUGAAAUU